rnacentral:tRNA from 1 species
GGGGUUGUGGCUCAGCAGUAGAGUGCUUACUUUAAACGUGUGAGACCCUGGGUUCGAUCCUCAGCACCACA